AGCGAACGCUGGCGGCAGGCUUAACACAUGCAAGUCGAGCGGGCGUAGCAAUACGUCAGCGGCAGACGGGUGAGUAACGCGUGGGAACAUACCUUUUGGUUCGGAACAACACAGGGAAACUUGUGCUAAUACCGGAUAAGCCCUUACGGGGAAAGAUUUAUCGCCGAAAGAUUGGCCCGCGUCUGAUUAGCUUGUUGGUGAGGUAAUGGCUCACCAAGGCGACGAUCAGUAGCUGGUCUGAGAGGAUGAUCAGCCACAUUGGGACUGAGACACGGCCCAAACUCCUACGGGAGGCAGCAGUGGGGAAUAUUGGACAAUGGGCGCAAGCCUGAUCCAGCCAUGCCGCGUGAGUGAUGAAGGCCCUAGGGUUGUAAAGCUCUUUUGUGCGGGAAGAUAAUGACGGUACCGCAAGAAUAAGCCCCGGCUAACUUCGUGCCAGCAGCCGCCGUAAC
rnacentral:rRNA from 1 species